rnacentral:tRNA from 1 species
GCCGGUGUAGCUCAGCCUGGUUAGAGCGUCAGACUCAUAAUCUGAAGGUCGGGGGCUCAUAUCCCCUCACCGGCA